GAGGGUAUAGCUCAAGUGGCAGAGUGCAUGCUUGGCAUGAACAAGGUCCUGGGUUCAAUCCCCAGUACCUCCU
rnacentral:tRNA from 1 species